GAUGAACGCUGGCGGCGUGCUUAACACAUGCAAGUCGAACGGAAAGGCCGAAGCUUGCUUCGGUACUCGAGUGGCGAACGGGUGAGUAACACGUGGGUGAUCUGCCCUGUACUUCGGGAUAAGCUUGGGAAACUGGGUCUAAUACCGGAUAUGACGAUCUCUUGGAUGGGGUUGUGGAAAGCUUUUGCGGUAUGGGAUGAGCUCGCGGCCUAUCAGCUUGUUGGUGGGGUAAUGACCUACCAAGGCGUCGACGGGUAGCCGGCCUGAGAGGGUGUACGGCCACAUUGGGACUGAGAUACGGCCCAGACUCCUACGGGAGGCAGCAGUGGGGAAUAUUGCACAAUGGGCGCAGGCCUGAUGCAGCGACGCCGCGUGGGGGAUGACGGCCUUCGGGUUGUAAACUCCUUUCGCAAUCGACGAAGCCUUUUGGUGACGGUAGGUUGAGAAGAAGCACCGGCUAACUACGUG
rnacentral:rRNA from 1 species